UGGGGAAUAUUGCACAAUGGGCGCAAGCCUGAUGCAGCCAUGCCGCGUGUAUGAAGAAGGCCUUCGGGUUGUAAAGUACUUUCAGCGAGGAGGAAGGCGUUGUGGUUAAUAACCGCAACGAUUGACGUUACUCACAGAAGAAGCACCGGCUAACUCCGUGCCAGCAGCCGCGGUAAUACGGAGGGUGCAAGCGUUAAUCGGAAUUACUGGGCGUAAAGCGCACGCAGGCGGUCUGUCAAGUCGGAUGUGAAAUCCCCGGGCUCAACCUGGGAACUGCAUCCGAAACUGGCAGGCUAGAGUCUUGUAGAGGGGGGUAGAAUUCCAGGUGUAGCGGUGAAAUGCGUAGAGAUCUGGAGGAAUACCGGUGGCGAAGGCGGCCCCCUGGACAAAGACUGACGCUCAGGUGCGAAAGCGUGGGGAGCAAACA
rnacentral:rRNA from 1 species